rnacentral:rRNA from 1 species
ACUCAAUAGAUACCCCGGUAGUCCACGCCCUAAACGAUGUCUACUAGUUGUCGGGUCUUAAUUGACUUGGUAAACGCAGCUAAACGCGUGAAGUAGACCGCCUGGGGAGUACGGUCGCAAGAUUAAAACUCAAAGGAAUUGACGGGGACCCGCACAAGCGGUGGAUGAUGUGGAUUAAUUCGAUGCAACGCGAAAAACCUUACCUACCCUUGACAUGGAUGGAAUCCCUGAGAGAUUGGGGAGUGCCCGAAAGGGAACCAUUACACAGGUGCUGCAUGGCUGUCGUCAGCUCAUGUCGUGAGAUGUUGGGUUAAGUCCCGCAACGAGCGCAACCCUUGUCAUUAGUUGCUACGAAAGGGCACUCUAAUGAGACUGCCGGUGACAAACCGGAGGAAGGUGGGGAUGACGUCAAGUCCUCAUGGCCCUUAUGGGUAGGGCUUCACACGUCAUACAAUGGUACAUACAGAGGGCCGCCAACCCGCGAGGGGGAGCUAAUCCCAGAAAGUGUAUCGUAGUCCGGAUUGUAGUCUGCAACUCG